rnacentral:rRNA from 1 species
GGGCCCGCACAAGCGGUGGAGCAUGUGGUUUAAUUCGAUGCAACGCGAAGAACCUUACCUGGUCUUGACAUACACAGAAUCUUGUAGAGAUACGAGAGUGCCUUCGGGAAUUGUGAUACAGGUGCUGCAUGGCUGUCGUCAGCUCGUGUCGUGAGAUGUUGGGUUAAGUCCCGCAACGAGCGCAACCCUUGUCCUUAGUUACCAGCACUUCGGGUGGGAACUCUAAGGAUACUGCCAGUGACAAACUGGAGGAAGGCGGGGACGACGUCAAGUCAUCAUGGCCCUUACGACCAGGGCUACACACGUGCUACAAUGGUAGGUACAGAGGGCAGCUACACAGCGAUGUGAUGCGAAUCUCAAAAAGCCUAUCUCAGUUCGGAUCGGAGUCUGCAACUCGACUCCGUGAAGUUGGAAUCGCUAGUAA